rnacentral:rRNA from 1 species
GCAAGUACAGAGUGGUCGGCGACCGGCGCGACGGGUGAGUAACACGUAUGCAACCUACCUCCCACAGGAGAAUAACCCGUUGAAAAACGGACUAAUACUCCAUAAUACAGGGGUCCCGCAUGGGAAUUAUUUGUUAAAGAUUAAUCGGUUGAAGAUGGGCAUGCGUCCAUUAGCUUGUUGGUGAGGUAACGGCUCACCAAGGCCACGAUGGAUAGGGAACUGAGAGGUUUAUCCCCCACACUGGAACUGAGACACGGUCCAGACUCCUACGGGAGGCAGCAGUGAGGAAUAUUGGUCAAUGGAGGCAACUCUGAACCAGCCAAGUCCGCGUGAAGGAUGAAGGUCUUAUGGAUUGUAAACUUCUUUUGCAAGGGAAUAAAGUGGGGGACGUGUCCUCCUUUGCAUGUACCUUGCGAAUAAGGAUCGGCUAACUCCGUGCCAGCCGCCGC